rnacentral:tRNA from 2 species
GCCCGCCUAGCUCAAUCGGAUAGAGCGUCAGACUCUUAUCCACUCACAUUGGCGGGAAUCUGAAGGCUGCGAGUUCGACCCUCGCGGUGGGCU